UACAGAGGUCUCAAGCGUUGUUCGGAUUCAUUGGGCGUAAAGGGUGCGUAGGCGGCGCGGUAAGUCGGGUGUGAAAUCUCGGAGCUUAACUCCGAAACUGCAUUCGAUACUGCCGUGCUUGAGGACUGGAGAGGAGACUGGAAUUUACGGUGUAGCGGUGAAAUGCGUAGAUAUUGGAAAGAACACCGAUGGCGAAGGCACUUUACUGGGCUAUUACUAACACUCAGAGACGAAAGCUAGGGUAGCAAAUGGG
rnacentral:rRNA from 1 species